rnacentral:misc_RNA from 1 species
GAUGAAGAACGUAGCGAAAUGCGAUAAGUAAUGUGAAUUGCAGAAUUCAGUGAAUCAUCGAAUCUUUGAACGCACCUUGCGCCCUUUGGCUAUUCCGAAGGGCAUGCCUGUUUGAGUAUCGUGAACACCUCAACUCUCAUGGUUUGCCAUGAUGAGCUUGGACUUUGGGGGUUUUGCUGGCCUUUGGUCGGCUCCUCUCAAACGGAUCAGCUUUCCAGUGUUUGGUGGCGUCACGGGUGUGAUAACUAUCUAAGCCUGUGGUUUUCUGCCAGAUAACCUUCAGCGAUGGAGGUUCGCUGGGGCUCAUAAAUGUCUCUCUUCAGUGGAGACAGCUUUUUGGACGUUUGAUCUCAAAUCAGGUAGGACUACCCGCUGAACUUAAGCAUAUCAAUAAGCGGAGGA